CGUUCCAUCACUUAUUUAAUUAAUUAUUAAUGGGAACACCUUAUUUAAUUAUUGUCAAAAGUAUUUUCUUAGAAUAUUAAAAACCAGUUCGUACAAAAUUCCCUUGGUGACGUCAUACUGGGUGUAUGGUGGUCACAUUGAUAUUUCUUGAGGUUGGUACUGAACACCGGCCGCUAGCUGUCACGAAGCCGGAACGGUGAAGAGGGAAGCAUUGGUCUUGGGAGUGUCAAUAAGAAUGGCGGCGUGAGUUUUCUAAUUAUAUAAUUAAAAUAAGUUAUUUCCAGUUGCAUAGUUCCAUUAUUGUUGUUGCAAGUUAUAGAAAGUUGAGUGAAUUAAAGUGACGGAAUAAUGAAACUGUAAGAAAAAGGAUCUCACACCGCCAUUCGGGAGAAAUCUAUUAUUACCGCUGGUAAACCCUCUCUAACACCGAGAGCAGACACUUCCAAGAUUCAGUCAACCAGGGAACAAGUCUAAGGAUACAGUCCCAUUUGUUUUGGUUCAUCAUCCUGCACCCUCCGAGGGACAGGUUCAUUAGCUAUUGGGCAGUUGCACCACUUCGGUGUUAACUUCGUACCACGGAUUUGGUACCACACACCAAGGAUCAGUGUUGGAACGCGUGAAAAGGGGUUUGUUUUGGGGGACAAUUAUUCAUACUAGUUAAAGACUUAUACUGUUUUUUUUUGUAAUAUUCAGGACAUUUAAGUUAGAUACACAUAAGUUCAUAAUUUAAUUACACAUAAAUAUUUUUUUCUUUCUCUACAAAUUUAAGUACAUUUUAGUUAUAAUAACCAUGCCUAACAGUUAGUACUGUUCCCCCAAAUUUAUAUAAUUCUUGGUAGAAGUUUCGAGCUCGAAGAUUCUCCCCAUACAUGUUCUUUCCCCUUGGUUCGUAUUAAUUUUAGACUUGUUUUCUCAGUUAAUUUAAAAAUAAUAUUAGUUCAAUUCACCUAAAUUUAAAAUAAUUCAACUUAUUUCAUAAUUUUUCAAUUUGUAUUAGAUUUUUGUAAAUAUUAUUUAACGUUAACUAUUAAUUUUUUUUAUAUUAUAUUUGAAUAAAUCCCUAGUACCCAUCCCCUCAGGAAGGUACUAGUUUUACUUGCGAUUAUUAUUUAGAACCACUAGUCAGAAAAGGAUCUUUUGUAUCCAGUACUAAGUUGGUUCAUUUAGGGACUUGUUACCCGUCAACACAUUGAGAGUUGUAAAAUAUAUAUUAUUUACAUUAGGUAUUUUCCUUAUUCUAUUAUCAGGUA